GACGAACGCUGGCGGCGUGCUUAACACAUGCAAGUCGAACGAAAAGAGGGAAAGAGCUUGCUCUUUCCGGAAUUGAGUGGCAAACGGGUGAGUAACACGUAAACAACCUGCCUUCAGGAUGGGGACAACAGACGGAAACGACUGCUAAUACCGAAUAAGUUCCAAGAGCCGCAUGGCCCAUGGAAGAAAAGGUGGCCUCUACCUGUAAGCUAUCGCCUGAAGAGGGGUUUGCGUCUGAUUAGCUGGUUGGAGGGGUAACGGCCCACCAAGGCGACGAUCAGUAGCCGGUCUGAGAGGAUGAACGGCCACACUGGAACUGAGACACGGUCCAGACUCCUACGGGAGGCAGCAGGGGGGAAUCUUCCGCAAUGGGCGAAAGCCUGACGGAGCAACGCCGCGGGAGGGAUGACGGCCUUCGGGUUGUAAAACUCUGUGAUCCGGGACGAAAAGGCAGAGUGCGAAGAACAAACCGCAUUGACGGUACCGGAAAAGCAAGCCACGGCUAACCACGUG
rnacentral:rRNA from 1 species